CCCUUAGAUGUUCUGGGCAGCACGCGCGCUACAAUGGUCUUCGCAAACGGAUGCAUUCUCGAAGGAGAAUGCCAAUCUUGGAAUCUAUGCCUUGGUCGGGACAGUUGCUUGCAAUUUUUCGACUCGAACCAGGAAUUCCUUGUAAUCGUGAUUCAUCACAUCACGAUGAAUACGUCCCUGCCCUUUGUACACACCGCCCGUCGCUCCUACCGAUCGAAGAGUUAGGUGAAUUGUUUUGAUCGAUAAGAUUUGACUAUGGUCAACUCUCGUUGUGAAAUUCUGUUAAUCUGACUGUUUAGAGGAAGGAAAAGUCGUAACA
rnacentral:rRNA from 1 species